rnacentral:rRNA from 1 species
AGAGUUGAUCCUGGCUCAGGACGAACGCUGGCGGCGUGCCUAAUACAUGCAAGUAGAACGCUGAAGGAGGAGCUUGCUUCUCUGGAUGAGUUGCGAACGGGUGAGUAACGCGUAGGUAACCUGCCUGGUAGCGGGGGAUAACUAUUGGAAACGAUAGCUAAUACCGCAUAAUAGCAGUUAUUGCAUGAUAACUGUUUGAAAGGUGCAAUUGCACCACUACCAGAUGGACCUGCGUUGUAUUAGCUAGUCGGUGGGGUAACGGCUCACCAAGGCGACGAUACAUAGCCGACCUGAGAGGGUGAUCGGCCACACUGGGACUGAGACACGGCCCAGACUCCUACGGGAGGCAGCAGUAGGGAAUCUUCGGCAAUGGACGGAAGUCUGACCGAGCAACGCCGCGUGAGUGAAGAAGGUUUUCGGAUCGUAAAGCUCUGUUGUAAGAGAAGAACGAGUGUGAGAGUGGAAAGUUCACACUGUGACGGUAUCUUACCAGAAAGGGACGGCUAACUACGUGCCAGCAGCCGCGGU